CUCCAACCAUCUGCUCCAGUUUCCAGUGUGACAAUUGGGCUAUGAAUUUACCCUAAGAUAGUUAAUUUUACAUUUCCUGUGUCAUUAGCUUCAUCCAUCUUAUGGACGAUAAGACUUGGUGACCAAACACAAACUGUUUUUUCUCCCAACUGUUGCACCAUAGUUCUCGUUCAUGUCAAAAUUUUCCGGGGUAAUGCCAUCCGGAAGUUUCCAGUCGAAGUGAUAGAGGAGUCGAGCUAAAAUCAGCUCGAGACUGGCUACGACAAAUGAAAUUCCCGGACAAAUCCUCCUGCCAGAACCAAAUGGUAUUAACUCAAAGUCAUUUCCUUUGUAGUUAAUCGAAACUUUGCUAAAUCUUUCAGGUUCAAAAUGUUGGAAUAAUUAAUAAUUUCAUAUGUGGGCUUCACAUUCGAUUGUAAAAUUUUACGGGUUAGAUAUAUGGCUCAUAAUGAUAUUUGUGUUUGGGCCAAAUUUAUUAAUUGAUCAAUUGGGCUUUUUACACCUUACGGGUUGUAAUUAAUUUGAUGUGGUAAUUUAAAGUAUGUGGGUCGGAAAUAAACCCUAAUUAGAAUUCUAGUCGUAAUGGGAUGACUCGAAUUAUUUCCUAUAUAUAAAGGUUAGGUCCCCCCUCCUCUCCAUAUGUUUUUCAUUAGCUUGCCCCAUUGAUAGCUUUUACUUUGUGAGGAGCAAGGAGGGGAAGAUCUUGACCGCUAUUAUAACUAUUAUUCAUGUCAACAAUGGCUUCCGCAGGUAUGAAUUUGAUUUAUUAAUUUAUUAUUUGAUGAUUCUCGAUUCUUAGCAUGAUUAUAAAUUAAAUUCAACAAUUGGUAUCAGAAUCUAAUGCUAAGAUCAGAAUCCGUCAUUAAAAUAAUAUUCUCUCUCUGAGUGAAUAAUUCUAAAUCCGCUACCCGUCAAUUCAAGUUUUUGGAAUUGUUAAGUUUUCAAAAAAAAAAAAAAAUUGAAAUUGAUUUCACGUGUUCUGUGCAUAUACGUGUUCAUUCAUUGUAUAGAUAUAAGAAAAGAAAUCCAAAAUCACCCAUGGCUUUCCCCUAAUCAACAAAACCCACUUGCAAAAGCUGAAACUUGGUUUUCUCUCUGCCUCCCUCAAACAGCUGAACCGCCUCUUCUCUUCCCUUCAUUAUUUUUCUAAAUGGCACUGCAAGACCCACAAUUUUCUCACUUCUUCAAGGUCUCUCUCUGUAUGUGUUUGCAUGUCUAUAUAAUUUCCUUUUCAUUGAAAUUUUUGUUAUCCUGAAGAAGCCAAGAAUUCAGGUUUUUCUUUUUGCAGUUGAAUAUUAAUUGCCCAAUGUUUUACUAUCAAAAGGAAACCCAGUAGCCAUUCCAAUAUUCCCGCUUUGCUUUGUCUGCUUGAAUUUAUCAUUUACAAUUUAUUUUAGUUUUGAUUGCUUUUCCAAAAAUCUGCCCAACAUUAAAUGCAAAAUCUGCCCAAUGUUUAAAAAAAAAAAAAAAAAAUUUGGGACGAACACUGUUGCUGCGUUUCAGGCAGCAGCGCCGCCCAGAAUCGCCUCCGACUGCUGCUGUGGUAGCAGCGCCGGGUACUACCGGCGCCACAGAAAAAAAAAUUGCGUUAACAGGUCUAAGGGGAGACGGGGCUCCUGUUGUAAAUAUUCGAUUUUCAAGCCCCUGUUUACAAUUACAGAUUGAGGGUUAGGUUUUGUAAAUUAUAUAAGGAGGGCCUGUCAUAUAAUUUAUGCAAUUGAAGGACCUGAUUUUAAUUUAGGGUUAAAAUGUAAUUUUCAAUAAGGGGCUCUUAAUUUGAACUUAUAAAGUUCUGACCCUAAAUUUUAAUUUUGACACAGUUAAAAAUUUUUAUUUGAUAAUUGACUCAUUUGGAAUAUAUUAAAUAAUAAUAAUAGUUUAGUUGACGACUUUUUGUAUUAUUUCAUUAAAAUGAUUAUGUAUUUAAAUGUUGUCAUUUUUUUUAAUUUUUUUGUUUGCGUGUUUAAAUUUCAAUUUUUAUAAUAUUGAAAUAUUGAAUUUUGUUGCCAAUUUUGUCUCCAAAUCACAUAUAAAUUUUGUUUAUCGAUUAAUAAUUAUGAUUUAUUAUAUAAUUAUUAUUUUGUGAUUGAAUUCUCAUGGGCAUUGAAACUAUUCUUAUUUUCCCACUAUGAGAGAAAUAUUUUAAAAUAAAAAUGGGUGGUAGCUGCCAAAGUGGCACACUCAUUAUUAUUUAUUCAAUUUUCUCUACAAUAAAAAUACAUAUAUUUUUGACCAACAACUUUUGAUUUAUUGCAUAUAAUAUCUUGCCUAAAGGUGUUAUUAUAUGUAAUAUUUUUGGAAAAUGGCAUGAGAAAGUUAACGAACUUAUUUUGGUUUAGAAAUUUCCUUCUGCCCAAAGGUGUUGGUUAUUUCGAAAACUGAUGUAAUUUUGUUAACUAACUACGUGAUGUGUUUUAAGAGUACCUUAUAGCAUGUUGUAUUGUCAACCCAAAAGUGACUUUAUGAUGAUGCACCUAGGCUCUUACCGUAAUAAAAUUCAUAUGUUUCGAUUUAAAUUACGAAUUAUCUAAUUAAUUGCCCAUAUUAAUUAGUUGGAUAUUUCAUCAUCAUUUGAUUGCAUGCAUUAAGUUUGGAUGAUAUUAAGAGUGAUAUUUUAUGUUUCCACAGUUUAUAAUGCCUCAUCUCUUUCGAAUCAAUUGUCUGCUAUUGAAACAUUGACUGGGAAUAACUAUGUAAGAUGGAAACGAGACGUAGAAAUAGCACUUAGUCUUUUGGAUUUGGAUUUUGCAAUGGAGAAAAAGUUUGAAAAACCCACAGAUAAAAGUACCAUUGAAUAUAUAGCCGAGCAUGAAAAGUGGGAAAGGGCUAACAAACUGUGUUUGAAAAUCAUUAAGCGAUCGAUAUCUGAUUCCAUUCUAGGUGUCAUCCCUGAUAAUGAAAAUGCCAAAAGUUUUAUGGAUGCCAUAGGAGAAAAAUUUAUUGAGUCUGAUAAAGUCGAAACUGGGGAUCUGAUGGAUAAAUUGAUGAGCAUGAAAUAUGAAGGCACAAGUGGUGUUAGGGAACAUGUCAUGAAAAUGAUAAAUAUAUCAUCUAAGCUAAAAGCUCUUGACAUUCCCAUUGCGGAGCCUUUCCUGGUCUAUCAUGUUUUGAAUAGCCUUCCUAACAAGUUUAAUCAGUUUAAAGUUGCUUACAAUGCUUAGCGGUAUAAGUGGAAUUUGAAUGACCUCAUAGCAGUGUGUGCCCAAGAAGAGUAUAGGAUGCAUAGUGAAACUGUUGAAACUGUGCAAUUAACUUUUCAGCCAUCACAGAAUAAGGGGCCUUCUCAUAAUCAUAAACCUAAGUUUCGUAAGGGUAAUAAGUCUUACCGAAGUCAACAGAAUAAAAAUUUUAGUGGUCCUAAAGCAGUUAUAAAGAAAAAUGAUCAAUGCAAGUUCUGUAAAAAGAAGGGUCACUGGCAGAAAGACUGUUUUAAGUUCAAGACUUGGUUGGAAAAGAAGAAGAGUUCUUCAGGUAUUCCCUUGGCCUUAGUUUGUUUUGAGUCUUCUUUAGUAGAUGUACCUUUGAAUUCUUGGUGGUUAGACUCGGGAGCUAGUUUUCAUAUUGCGAAUUCCUUGCAGGGGUUCAUAAGCAAACGGAGGCCAAGUGAGAAUGAAGUAAGCUUGAGUGUUGCAAAUGGAUUCCAAGUGAAUGUUGAAUUCAUAGGAGUAGUGAAGUUAACUUUGGAGUCUGAUUUUUAUCUUAUUUUGGAAAAUACAGUUUAUGUACUGCAGAUGAGACGGAAUUUAAUUUCUAUACCAAAACUUGAUACUUGUGGUCUUACAUUUAUUUUUGGUAAUGGAAUGAUUAAGUUAUUUAAUGAUUCUCAUUUGAUUGGAAAUGACAUUUUAUGUGAUGAUUUAUAUAAAUUAUCUUUGGCUUCUUUUGGUGAUGUCUAGUGUGUUACAAAUGUAUCAAAGAAAAGGGCUUUAAUUCGUGAAUCAUCCUCUAUGUUGUGGCAUAAGCGAUUGGGUCAUAUUUCUAAGGAUAGAAUGGAAAGAUUAGUAAAAGAUGAGAUCCUUCCUUAGACUUCUCCGAUUUUGACACCUGUAUAGAUUGUAUAAGAGGAAAGUUAACUGAGUCUAUGAGGAAGGGUUCGACUAGGAGUAAUGAAAUUUUGGACUUAAUUCACAUUGAUAUCAGUGGACAUUUGCUUUCUACUAUAUGUGGGAAUAAAUAUUUCAUAACUUUCAUUGAUGAUUUCUCACGAUAUGGAUAUGUUUAUUUGAUUAAUGACAAAUCACAUGCACUUGAGAAAUUCAAAGCUUUCAAACUGGAAGUAGAGAAACAAUGUGGGAAAAGUAUCAAAGUUGUAAGAUCUGAUCGAGGUGGUGAGUACUAUGGGAAAUAUGACGAGUCUGGUCAAAAUAUGGGUGAUUUUGCAAAAUUUUUACAAGAGUGUGGAAUAGUGCCCCCAAUACACCAUGCCAGGGACACCUGAGCAGAAUGGUGUUUCUGAAAGACGUAAUCAAACUCUAAAAGAUAUGGUUAGAAGUAUGAUAAGUAGAACAAAUUUGCUUGAAUAUUUGUGGGGUGAAGCCUUGAAAAUAGCUAUGUAUAUUUUGAACAGAGUUCCAAGUAAAGUUGUUACAAAGAUACCUUUUGAAUUAUGGACAGGACGUAAGCCAAGUAUGGCUCACUUUAAAGUUUGGGGAUGCCCAGCUGAGGUUAGGAUUUAUAAUCCAUUUGAAAAGAAAUUAGACCCUAAAUCAACUCCUGGCUACUUUAUUGGGUAUCCGGAUAGAUCAAAGGGAUAUAAGUUUUACUGUCCAAAUUGCGGCACUAGAAUUGUGGAGUCCAUUACUACUAAGUUUCUGGAGAACGAUUUUGGAGAUAGUGGGAGUUCCACAUUGAGAGAAAUUCUUGUUGAACCUAAUCAAGUUGUAGUUCCAGUUCCUGUCAUACAGGAAAGAGUUGGUUCUCAACCAAUUGGAGUUGUUAAUGAAGAACCGAGGAACCAGGAGGAAUCUCCAAUUCCUCAAACAACGAUUGAAUCGGUUCUUGAGCCACAAGUUAGGAGAUCACAAAGGGAAAGAAGAUCUGCAUUGCCCAGUGAUUAUAUUGCAUAUUUAUUGGAGAGUGAUUUUAAUGUUGGGCAUAUUGUUGAUCCUGUAACUUAUAACCAAGCAUUGACAAGUCGUGAUGCAGAUAAUUGGAUAGCUGCCAUGGAAGAUGAAAUGAAUUCCAUGGAAAGGAAUAAAGUUUGGGAUCUUGUUGAACUUCCUCCAGAUGCUAAGGCUGUAGAUAACAAGUGGAUUUUCAAAAGUAAAUUAGAUUCAAAAGGAAAUGUUGAACGAAAGAAAGCAAGAUUAGUUGCAAAAGGUUUCACUCAACGAGAGGGCAUUGAUUAUGUUGAAACCUUCUUCCCUGUUUCGUCGAAAGAUUCUUUUCGAAUUAUCAUGGCUCUUGUGGCACACUACAAUUUGGAGUUUCAUCAAAUGUAUGUUAAGACAGCAUUUUUGAAUGGAGAUCUUUUUGAAAUGGUUUAUAUGAAACAACCUGAAAGUUUUGUUGUAAAAGGAAAAGAAAACUUAGUGUGUAAGUUAAACAAAUCCUUAUAUGGUCUCAAACAAGCAUCUCGACAGUGGUAUUUGAAAUUUGAUAAGGUUGUGACAUCUCUUGGUUUUGUCGAAAAUACUAUUGAUCAAUGCAUUUAUCUUAAAAUCAGUGGGAGAAAUUUUAUUUUCCUUGUACUAUAUGUUGAUGACAUUCUGCUUGCUAGCAGUAACUUAGGGUUGCUUCAUGAGACAAAGAAAAUGUUGUCUGCUAAUUUUGAGAUGAAAGAUCUUGGAGUAGCUUCCUAUGUACUUGGCAUUGAAAUAUAUCGUGAUAGAAAUCGUGACUUAUUGGGACUUUCUCAGAAAGCUUAUAUACGACGUGUUCUAGAAAGGUUUAAUAUGCAAAAUUGUGCACCUGGUGAUGUACCUAUCGUAAAAGGAGAUAAGUUUAAUAAAACUCUAUGUCCAAGGAAUGAGCUGGAAAGGGAGUCUAUGAAGAUGAUCCCAUAUGCUAGUGCUGUGGGAAGCUUGAUGUAUGUUCAAGUUUGCACUAGAUCGGAUAUAGUCUAUGCAGUAAGUGUCCUUAGCAGAUUUCAGUCUAAUCAAGGACAACAGCAUUGGAAAGCAGCUAAGAAAGUUAUGAGAUAUUUGAAGAAAACUGAAAGUUAUAUGCUUACAUUCCAGUGUACAAAUCAUCUUGAGGUGGUAGGAUAUUCAGAUUCUGAUUUUGUUGGAUGUCAAGAUGAUUUGAAAUCAACUUCAGGUUAUAUUUUUACAUUAGCUGGCGGUGCCAUUUCUUGGAAAAGUAUUAAACAGACUUUAGUGGCAUCUUCUACUAUGCAGGCUGAAUUUGUGGCAUGUUAUGGGGCUACAGUUCAAGCCGUUUGGUUAAGAAAUUUCAUCUCUGGCUUGAAAGUUGUUGAUUCCAUCUCAAAACCGAUCAAAGAAUAAUAAUAGUUCUGGUGGAUCAAAACAUAUUGACAUCAAAUAUUUGGUUGUUAGAGACAGAGUCAAAGAAGGGCAGACGAAAAUAGAGCAUAUCAAUACAGAGGCGAUGGUUGCAGAUCCCUUGACUAAGAGACUCACUCCAAAUGUCUUUAAGACACAUGUUACUAAUAUGUGUAUUGUGGAAACAUUUGAUAUUUUUGGUUAGUGGGAAUUAUUUAUGUAAAGAACUACGUUUUGGGCUUGAUCCCUUUACGGGGUACGUAGGCAGCCCAUAUGUUUUCGGGUACAGCCCCUUCUGAUAAUAAAAUAAUUUUUCCCAUAUCCAUGAAUUAUUUUUAAGCAUGCAUUUGACUUAUAUCUUUUUAUAUUAUUGGCAUCUUGAAAUAUGACGUAUAAAGACAUAAGACGAGUCUCUUUUAGAGACAUGUGGCUUCAUUUUGAUUCGAAGCAUUAUGAGGAUCGAUAUGAGUUAGCACAAUUUUUGAUCACAUUUGGUGCUAAAUUCAUACCACAUACUACCACAUUAGUUGGAGGAUGGGGAUCUAUGUCGAUAAGGAUGUUGACAUUUGUAGCUGUGGAAUGAUCUUACAUCUCUUAAAUUGGUGUAAUGACUUCUAUAUUCGGUGUUAAUAUUCUUGUUGGACCGGAUCAUGUUACGUAAGGUGUCAUCAUUGGAGCUAUACUUUUGUGGCCACUUAUGUAGUCUAACCCGGGUGUUAAAACUUUGUUAUGGCAAUCAAAUGUUUGUUCAAGUGGGAGAAUGUUGGAAUAAUUAAUAAUUCCAUAUGUGGGCUUCACAUUCGAUUGCAAAAUUUUACGGGUUAGAUACAUGGCUCAUAAUGAUAUUUGUGUUUGGGCCAAAUUUAUUAAUUGGUCAAUUGGGCCUUUUACACCCUACGGGUUGUAAUUAAUUUGAUGUGGUAAUUUAAAGUUUGUGGGUCGGAAAUAAACCCUAAUUAGAAUUCUAGUCGUAAUGGGACGGCUCAAAUUAUUUCCUAUAUAUAAAGGCUAGGUCCCUUCCCCUCUCUAUAUGUUUUUCAUUAGCUUGCCCCAUUAAUAGCUAUUAUUUUGUGAGGAGCAAGGAGGGGAAGAUUUUGACCGCUAUUAUAACUAUUAUUCAUAUCAACAAUGGCUUCCGCAGGUAUGAAUUUGGUUUAUUAAUUUAUUAUUUGGUGAUUCUCGAUUCUUAGCAUGAUUAUAAAUUAAAUUCAACACAAAAGUCUCAGGAUCAUGCCAAUACUCGAGAUUUCUUCCAAUGGCCCAAACAUUUAUGAGGCCUGUGGUUUCAUUAGGUAUAUCAUAUCCAUCAAUCUUGCAUUCUUCCCUGAAUUUUCUAGGGCCCAACAAUGGAAGAG
rnacentral:lncRNA from 1 species